rnacentral:lncRNA from 13 species
CAUAGCAACAGGGGUGGGGGUUUUGAGAAACCCAAUGUCCAGGGGGAAAUUUUCACAAGGCUGAGCAGGAACAAUGGUUGCAGGUUGCAGCAGGAGAGCAAUUAGCUGAGGCAAGAACAAGUUGUUUCACUUCUUUCUAUGGCCAACUGGUUACUUGUGGAUGCUUCAGACUUUCUGGCUUCUGGGGACCAUCCAGAGGUAUAUGUGCAAGUCACCAAGGCUAAAAUAGCCAGACUUGACUUGGAGGCCCAAUAAUAGCAAUACUAACAUGUCCCAUUUUUAUAUUCAUUAUUUUAUUCACUGUAAGAAUUCAAAAGAUUUCAUUGAUUGUCGUUUCAGUUUUCUUCAGACACUUUCUAUAGUCUCUGCUAGCGGAGGCCUUCAUUUCACCAGUGUGAAAGCGAAAGGCCAAGAGAGAGAUUUAAAAGAACAUCCAGUCCAUUAAUUUUCUUGUUUCUUCUGGGUAAUUAAUCCAGAAGCAGAGAGGAAUAGUGGCUGGAGCUGCUGGAUUUCCCUACAUCUUGCUAACUUGAAGAGCCAAC